rnacentral:lncRNA from 1 species
GGAGCGGGAGCGGGGCGAGGGCGAGAGCGCUGCGGGACGCGCUGGGUGUGAAACCCUUCGCCGGCGAUUAGCUCACGUCAGUCACGCUUUGCUGGUUGCCCCUCCGGUGACCUCGCGGAAGGACAGUAGGCGGCCGCCCUCUGGAAUGCGUUCUCGGAAGGCCGCAGGCGCGCGCGGUCCUCAGUGUCCUCGCGAAGCUGCGGUUCCGCGCCGCCGGGAAAAGACGACCGCGUCCGGGAGCCGCGCAGGAACCGCCGGCCGGCUCAGGGCCCCGAACGUGGAAAGCGGAAAGCGAAAAGCGAAGGCAGCCAUGCACGAGCGCUACUUCCUCUAACUUCGAUCGAGGGAAGUGCGGGCCUGCGCCUUUACCAGCGCCGAAGGCGGCCUUUGCGUGGGUCACCUCGCCUGACCCGCCGUCGCAGGUUCUGUGCCUAACACACCUGCAAAGAAAACGGUGAACCUGCAUUUAGCCAGGAAGCAUUUUCAAAAGUAACGCUUGGAAAUUAAGUAUUUGGGAGAAAAUGGAGACUCAGUUUUCUACACGGUAGAAUUGUGUUUAUUUCCUUCUGGCAAACAGUUAUUGCACUUAACGUGCCCCAGUUACAGAAUUCAAUCAACCCGACCUCCAUGCUCAAGGAGUUUGUAUUCCGAUGCAGUGGUAAAUGACUGCUCAAGAAAAGGAGCGCUCUUGAGAAUAGUGUGGGGAGAAAUCUUCACAGGGGCGUUGAGAUCUGAUCUGGAGUUUGAAGAUUCAAAAACGUUAAGGGGGCGGGAGUUGAGGGAGGGUGGUGAUGGUGAGCAGGACCUGGUAGAAAUUUAAGGCAAGAGAGAAAGAAAUGUAAAGCUGUGUGUUGUCCUGGUAUUAUUUGAAUAUAACAUGCAAGAUGUAGGAUGGAGAUAAUGAGGUGAGAUGACGAUGCAGAAGUUCUUCAGUUAGGCUACACAGUUUGUGUUUUAUCCUAGAUAGCUGGGAGCAGUUGGAAAGUUUUGUUUGUAAGUAGUUUUUCCUCCAAAGUUUUGAUUGUGAAAUGUUCAAACAUCCAGAAGACUUAAAAGGAUAGUACAUUGUCUACGCAUGUUUUUCAUUUCUUUAAGGUAUAUAAUACUCAACCUUCAUGUAUUUGAAGUCUGAAUUCAACUUAUAAUAACUGCCUAUGGUAUUGAAGAGUCUUAAUCAUGGGCUUGACGGGAUCAGUCACCUAGAUUCAAAAAUUCUGCUGUAUUUGCUUUGUAUUUGGGUAUUUUUUUCCCCCUUAAGUACGUGAAAGUAGGAUGCAGACAUGAUAUUUUAUCCCUAGGUACUUCAACAUGCUUCUCCAAAGAAUAACCUCUUCAACAUAAUCAUGAUACCAUUAUCACAGCUGGGAAAAUUAGCAGUUGUAUGACGGAGGUCCCUGCUUUCCUGCUAGCUGUUGACCAGGAUGGCUUUCAGCUCCUAGAGACCAUCCUCAAGUCCUAACCAUAUGGCCCUCUCACAACAUGGUAGAAUUUCUCUUGCUUACUCCUGAAUCUCUCUGACUUCUUUUGAUCCACCCAUCAUAACCUCAUUUUUUAACAAAAAGUCGGUUGAUUAGUAACCUUAUCGAAGUGAAAUCUACUUUCAGAGUCCAGCCCACACUUGGGGAGAGGCAAUUAUACCAG